UAAAGUGGCGCACGGGUGAGUAACACGUGAAUAAUCUACCUCCGAGUGGGGAAUAACUGAGAGAAAUCUUAGCUAAUACCGCAUAAUACCCACGGGUCAAAGCAGUAAUGCGCUUGGAGAGGAGUUCGCGGCCGAUAAGUUAGUUGGCGGGGUAAUGGCCCACCAAGACGAUGAUCGGUAUCCGGCCUGAGAGGGCGCACGGACACACUGGAACUGAAACACGGUCCAG
rnacentral:rRNA from 1 species